ACAUCCCCUGACCGCGUUAUGAAAGUACGUUUUCACCCUCGGGUGACAGGGAGACAGGUGGUGCAUGGUUGUCGUCAGCUCGUGUCGUGAGAUGUUGGGUUAAGUCCCGCAACGAGCGCAACCCCUAUCUCUAGUUGCCAGCGAUUCGGUCGGGGACUCUAGAGAUACUGCCCCGGUUAACGGGGAGGAAGGUGGGGAUGACGUCAAGUCCUCAUGGCCCUUAUGCCCAGGGCUACACACGUGCUACAAUGGGCGGUACAAAGGGUAGCGAUGCCGCGAGGUGAAGCCAAUCCCAAAAAGCCGUCCACAGUUCGGAUUGGAGUCUGCAACUCGACUCCAUGAAGCCGGAAUCGCUAGUAAUCGUGGAUCAGCAUGCCACGGUGAAUACGUUCCCGGGCCUU
rnacentral:rRNA from 1 species